ACGCUCGACACCUACGGAGGCAGCAGUAGGGAAUCUUCCACAAUGGACGCAAGUCUGAUGGAGCAACGCCGCGUGAGUGAAGAAGGUCUUCGGAUCGUAAAACUCUGUUGUUAGAGAAGAACACGAGUGAGAGUAACUGUUCAUUCGAUGACGGUAUCUAACCAGCAAGUCACGGCUAACUACGUGUCAGCAGCCGCGGUAAUCUGAGGCGGGCGUGGCGAAGGC
rnacentral:rRNA from 1 species